UACGUAGGGGGCUAGCGUUGUUCGGAUUUACUGGGCGUAAAGCGCACGUAGGCGGAUCGUUAAGUCGGGGGUGAAAUCCUGGAGCUCAACUCCAGAACUGCCUUCGAUACUGGCGAUCUCGAGUCCGGAAGAGGUGAGUGGAACUCCUAGUGUAGAGGUGGAAUUCGUAGAUAUUAGGAAGAACACCAGUGGCGAAGGCGGCUCACUGGUCCGGUACUGACGCUGAGGUGCGAAAGCGUGGGGAGCAAACAGG
rnacentral:rRNA from 1 species